ACAGACGAGGAGCUUGCUCCUCUGAUGUUAGCGGCGGACGGGUGAGUAACACGUGGAUAACCUACCUACAAGACUGUGAUAACUUCGGGAAACCGGAGCUAAUACCGGAUAACAUGUUGAACCGCAUGGUUCAACAGUGAAAGACGGUCUUGCUGUCACUUAUAGAUGGAUCCGCGCCGCAUUAGCUAGUUGGUAAGGUAACGGCUUACCAAGGCAACGAUGCGUAGCCGACCUGAGAGGGUGAUCGGCCACACUGGAACUGAGACACGGUCCAGACUCCUACGGGAGGCAGCAGUAGGGAAUCUUCCGCAAUGGGCGAAAGCCUGACGGAGCAACGCCGCGUGAGUGAAGAAGGUCUUCGGAUCGUAAAACUCUGUUAUUAGGGAAGAACAAAUGUGUAAGUAACUAUGCACGUCUUGACGGUACCUAAUCAGAAAGCCACGGCUAACUACGUGCCAGCAGCCGCGGUAAUACGUAGGUGGCAAGCGUUAUCCGGAAUUAUUGGGCGUAAAGCGCGCGUAGGCGGUUUUUUAAGUCUGAUGUGAAAGCCCACGGCUCAACCGUGGAGGGUCAUUGGAAACUGGAAAACUUGAGUGCAGAAGAGGAAAGUGGAAUUCCAUGUGUAGCGGUGAAAUGCGCAGAGAUAUGGAGGAACACCAGUGGCGAAGGCGACUUUCUGG
rnacentral:rRNA from 1 species